rnacentral:rRNA from 1 species
AUUGAACGCUGGCGGCAGGCCUAACACAUGCAAGUCGAGCGGAGCGGCGGACGGGUGGGUAAUGCCUAGGAAUCUGCCUGGUAGUGGGGGAUAACGUACGGAAACGGACGCUAAUCCCGCAUCCUAUCAGAUGAGCCUAGGUCGGAUUAGCUAGUUGGUGGGGUAAAGGCCUACCAAGGCGACGAUCCCUAACUGGUCUGCGAGGACGAUCAGUCACUCUGGCACGGAGACACGGCCUAGGCUAGGAAGCGAGGAAGAAUUGGGCGAUAUUGCACAAUGCGUGAAAGACCGAUGCAGCGUGGGUGAGGGGGGGAUGAAGGCUUUAGGGUUGUAAUACUCGUGCAGUACCGAAGGGGUAGGUGAAGAAGAAGCGCCGGCUAACUACGUGCCAGCAGCCGCGGUAAUAC